rnacentral:rRNA from 1 species
GACGAACGCUGGCGGCGUGCUUAACACAUGCAAGUCGAGCGGUAAGGCUCCUUCGGGAGUACACGAGCGGCGAACGGGUGAGUAACACGUGAGUAAUCUGCCCUUCACUUCGGGAUAACCACCGGAAACGGUGGCUAAUACCGAAUACGACCAGUCUUCGCAUGAGGUGCUGGUGGAAAGUCUUUUCGGUGAGGGAUGUGCUCGCGGCCUAUCAGCUUGUUGGUGGGGGAAUGGCCUACCAAGGCUUCGACGGGUAGCCGGCCUGAGAGGGUGACCGGCCACACUGGGACUGAGACACGGCACAGACUCCUACGGGAGGCAGCAGUGGGGAAUAUUGGACAAUGGGCGAAAGCCUGAUCCAGCAACGCAGCGUGAGGGAUGACGGCCUUCGGGUUGUAAACCUCUCUCAGUACCGACGAAGCGCCCUGUCGGGUGGUGACGGUAGGUACAGAAGAAGGACCGGCCAACUACGU